GACGAACGCUGGCGGCGUGCCUAAUACAUGCAAGUAGAACGCUGAAGGAGGAGCUUGCUUCUCUGGAUGAGUUGCGAACGGGUGAGUAACGCGUAGGUAACCUGCCUGGUAGCGGGGGAUAACUAUUGGAAACGAUAGCUAAUACCGCAUAACAGUAGAUAUUGCAUGAUAUCUGCUUGAAAGGUGCAAAUGCAUCACUACCAGAUGGACCUGCGUUGUAUUAGCUAGUUGGUGGGGUAACGGCUCACCAAGGCGACGAUACAUAGCCGACCUGAGAGGGUGAUCGGCCACACUGGGACUGAGACACGGCCCAGACUCCUACGGGAGGCAGCAGUAGGGAAUCUUCGGCAAUGGACGGAAGUCUGACCGAGCAACGCCGCGUGAGUGAAGAAGGUUUUCGGAUCGUAAAGCUCUGUUGUAAGAGAAGAACGAGUGUGAGAGUGGAAAGUUCACGCUGUGACGGUAUCUUACCAGAAAGGGACGGCUAACUACGUGCCAGCAGCCGCGGUAAUACGUAGGUCCCGAGCGUUGUCCGGAUUUAUUGGGCGUAAAGCGAGCGCAGGCGGUUAGAUAAGUCUGAAGUUAAAGGCUGUGGCUUAACCAUAGUACGCUUUGGAAACUGUUUAACUUGAGUGCAAGAGGGGAGAGUGGAAUUCCAUGUGUAGCGGUGAAAUGCGUAGAUAUAUGGAGGAACACCGGUGGCGAAAGCGGCUCUCUGGCUUGUAACUGACGCUGAGGCUCGAAAGCGUGGGGAGCAAACAGG
rnacentral:rRNA from 1 species